GAUGAACGCUGGCGGCGUGCCUAAUACAUGCAAGUCGAGCGAACAGACGAGAGUGCUUGCACUCUCUGACGUUAGCGGCGGACGGGUGAGUAACACGUGGGUAACCUACCUAUAAGACUGGGAUAACUUCGGGUAACCGGAGCUAAUACCGGAUAAUAUUUAGCUUCGCAUGAAGCAAUAGUGAAAGACGGUUCUGCUGUCACUUAUAGAUGGACCCGCGGUGUAUUAGCUAGUUGGUGAGGUAACGGCUCACCAAGGCAACGAUACAUAGCCGACCUGAGAGGGUGAUCGGCCACACUGGGACUGAGACACGGCCCAGACUCCUACGGGAGGCAGCAGUAGGGAAUCUUCCGCAAUGGACGAAAGUCUGACGGAGCAAUGCCGCGUGAGUGAAGAAGGUUUUCGGAUCGUAAAACUCUGUUGUAAGGGAAGAACAAGUACGUUAGUAACUGAACGUACCUUGACGGUACCUUACCAGAAAGCCACGGCUAACUACGUG
rnacentral:rRNA from 1 species